GUGACAUCAUCAUUAGGCCCUCCAUUAAAAAUCUCUUGUAUCCUGGAGAGCCCUAGUUUCUUCUGUGAUGUCACAAGUGUUGUGACAUCAUCUGCCUCUUAGAUAUUCCAUCAGUACCUCUAGAGUUUACUAAUUGAUCUGUAAUUCAGAAUAAACAGCUAUUUGGGAGAGAAAAAAAGAAGAUGAAGAGAUCAGAGAUGGGGAGAAGGAACCUGGCCUUCUGUCUUGGUAUAAAAAAGAAGAAAUAUGUGGUCCAUGGUGCACCGAGCUCUUGGAGAAGUUGCUGAACAUCCUAAAGACUUUUGGGCAGAUGGAAAAGGGCUUGUCUGUCAAAUGCUUUUCAAUCGCCAAGAAGUUUGAGGUACCUGGAGAAUGCUUCCUCCUGUUCAUCCUCAUCCUGCUCUCAUUGCCUUUGUUAUCUGCACCAGUCCAUCUCUACACACCCCCAUGUACAUUUUUCUGAUGAACUUACGUAUCCUGAAAUUUGGUUACACUAGUUCUGUCAUACUCAAUAUAUGGAGAGACUUGAAAAUGAGAUCUGAGGAAUCUCUCAGGAGGGAUGUGCCACACAGACGUUUUUCUUCACACUUUUUGUAUAAUUGAGUGCUGCCUAUUGCCAGCCAUGGCCUUUGUCCACUGUAUGUCCCUGCUUCAUUCUGCAGCCCAAAUGAGUAGUGAGGUAUGUUCCCACAUGGCAAUUGUUUCACGGGGAAUAGGUUGCCUUGUAGGGUUGGGAAAAAACUACUUGAGAUCCAAAUCUAACCACACACAAGGAGUUGAAAAAUUAUUGGUCAUCUUCCAUACCACAGUGAUAUCCAUGCUGAACCCAUCAUCUUUGCUUAAAGUAUGAAGAAGUCAAGACAGGACUGAAAAGAACUCUGGGUAAUUAAGGAUCCCAAAGUGCUCUUUCAAAAAGGUGCAAAGUCUGUGAAAGAAAGAAAAAAAAAUAAUAACUGUGCUUUUUCUUGCUGUCUUGAAACAAACUUUAAGAAACAUACCUUUCUUUAAAGUGUUCUCUGUAUUCACCACCAUGCUUAAUUGCAAACAAUUGUAAAGUAUGCUUGCUACUAAAUUACUUUAGUAGAUUAAUCCAGUACUUAAGUGGUUUCCUCUGGACAGAGUUUAAACCACAUGUUAAUGUCUCAGGGUCUUGAAAAUUCUCUGUAUCCAUUCUUAGCUAUUUGGAAAUCUUUCAGAAAUUGUUUGUACAUGAUCUCAGCUCGUUAUGAUACAAUUCCAUAUUCCUCAGUACAUGUAAAUUCUUUGCAUUGGAUGGAACUGCUAAUUAGUUCUCAGGAGAGUGAAUUGUUAACCUCUGCUUUGUGUACCAUUUGAUCAGUCCAUACUUCAGUUCUGGUCACCCAGUGUCUAUUAUUUUGGAACAGGAGUAGUCUUUCCUCCACUUUUUGAUUUCUAAAAGGGCUGUGGAAAAGAAUUUCAGCCAGGUGAUUCUCAACAUCAAUAUCAUAGUUUCAGAUAAACACACACACACACGUACACACACACACACACACACACACACACACACAUGCACACACACACA